rnacentral:rRNA from 1 species
UUGGAGGGCAAGUCUGGUGCCAGCAGCCGCGGUAAUUCCAGCUCCAAUAGCGUAUAUUAAAGUUGUUGCAGUUAAAAAGCUCGUAGUUGAAUUUCGGAGUUUGUCGGUUGGUCGGGCUUCACUGUCCGCACUGACCUGAUGGGUUCCUACCUUCUGAAUAACCAGCAUGCUAUUAAGUUAGUGCGUUGGGGAAGCAGAGCUAUUACCUUGAAAAAAUUAGAGUGCUUAAAGCAGGCUAACGCCUGAAUACAUUAGCAUGGAAUAAUGAAAUAGGACGUUCGAUCCUAUUUUGUUGGUUUCUAGGAUUGACGUAAUGAUUAAUAGGGCUAGUUGGGGGCAUUAGUAUUCAAUUGUCAGAGGUGAAAUUCUUGGAUUUAUUGAAGACUAACUACUGCGAAAGCAUUUGCCAAGGAUGUUUUCAUUAAUCAAGGACGAAAGUUAGGGGAUCGAAGACGAUCAGAUACCGUCGUAGUCUUAACCAUAAACUAUGCCGACUAGGGAUCGGAUGAUGUUAAUUUUUUAAUGACUCAUUCGGCGCCUUACGGGAAAC